rnacentral:tRNA from 1 species
GUGCCUAUGGUGUAUUGGUCAGCACAGGAACCUGUGGAGUUCCAAGAGAGGGUUCGAGUCCCUCUAGGCACC